rnacentral:hammerhead_ribozyme from 1 species
AUCCAGCUGACGAGUCCAAAACAGGACGAAAUGCGCGUCCUGGAU